rnacentral:rRNA from 1 species
UACAGAGGGGGCAAGCGUUGUUCGGAAUUACUGGGCGUAAAGGGCGCGUAGGCGGCCUGCUAAGUCGAACGUGAAAUCCCUGGGCUCAACCCAGGAACUGCGUCCGAUACUGGUUGGCUUGAAUUCGGGAGAGGGAUGCAGAAUUCCAGGUGUAGCGGUGAAAUGCGUAGAUAUCUGGAGGAAUACCGGUGGCGAAGGCGGCAUCCUGGACCGACAUUGACGCUGAUGAGCGAAAGCUAGGGGAGCAAACGGG